rnacentral:rRNA from 1 species
GACGAACGCUGGCGGCGUGCCUAAUACAUGCAAGUCGAGCGGACGAAUCGAAAGCUUGCUUUUGAUUCGUUAGCGGCGGACGGGUGAGUAACACGUGGGCAACCUGCCCUGUAGACGGGGAUAACACCGAGAAAUCGGUGCUAAUACCGGAUAACACGAAAUGUCGCAUGACGUUUCGUUGAAAGACGGCGCACGCUGUCGCUACAGGAUGGGCCCGCGGCGCAUUAGCUAGUUGGUGAGGUAACGGCUCACCAAGGCGACGAUGCGUAGCCGACCUGAGAGGGUGAUCGGCCACACUGGGACUGAGACACGGCCCAGACUCCUACGGGAGGCAGCAGUAGGGAAUCUUCCGCAAUGGACGAAAGUCUGGCGGAGCAACGCCGCGUGAGCGAAGAAGGCCUUCGGGUCGUAAAGCUCUGUUGUUAGGGAAGAACAAGUAACGCAGUAACUGGCGUUACCGUGACGGUACCUAACGAGAAAGCCACGGCUAACUACGUG